rnacentral:rRNA from 1 species
CCUACGGGUGGCAGCAGUCGAGAAUCAUUCACAAUGGGGGAAACCCUGAUGGUGCGACGCCGCGUGGGGGAAUGAAGGUCUUCGGAUUGUAAACCCCUGUCAUGUGGGAGCAAAUUAAAAAGAUAGUACCACAAGAGGAAGAGACGACUAACUCUGUGCCAGCAGCCGCGGUAAUACAGAGGUCUCAAGCGUUGUUCGGAAUCACUGGGCGUAAAGCGUGCGUAGGCUGUUUCGUAAGUCGUGUGUGAAAGGCGCGGGCUCAACCCGCGGACGGCACAUGAUACUGCGGGACUAGAGUAGUGGAGGGGGAACCGGAAUUCUCGGUGUAGCAGUGAAAUGCGUAGAUAUCGAGAGGAACACUCGUGGCGAAGGCGGGUUCCUGGACAUUAACUGACGCUGAGGCACGAAGGCCAGGGGAGCGAAAGGGAUUAGAUACCCUUGUAGUC